rnacentral:lncRNA from 1 species
CUGGGCUGUGCCUGAGUAAUCGCAUCAUGUGAACUGCUGGGUGGCUGAAAUCAGCCCGCAAACCUCGUCAGAACAAAAGUGGGUUAAAUCCAUAAAUUCCAGCUGUAACGCUCAGAGUUUGGGAUCCUCAGCCUGGGAACCUGGCAGCCCGGCAUGGAUUUGGGGCUGCCUUGUCCCCGGUACUGUGCCUGGUGGGGAGCAGCGAGCCGCGGGCAGCAAGCCCAGCUUUCCCUCCUCUCUCGGAGGAUGCUCGGCUGAGCAACCCCUCCUGUGUCCCUUCCAGGCAGCGUGAGGAACAGGAAAGCCAGCCACUUCCCCUGGCCGACCCUGGUAGCCAUCCUGCUCCUCUCCUGCAGUAUCCUGGUAGCUUUAGGCGUCAGGAAAUGGUGUCAGUACCAGAAAGAGAUUAUGAGCAGACCUCCAUCUUUCAAGCCACCACCCCCUCCGAUAAAAUACACCUCCAUGGCGGAGUCCGACGGGACUCCCCCAUCCUGCCACGAACUGGAAAACCUCUAACACCACCUGCACCCCUUGUGCAGCGCGCAGAAGGCUGACACAGUUAAAAGGCUCUGUCUUUAAAGCAGUCAUUAUAGGAGUUUGGUGUUAAUGACCCACAUUAAAAUUCAGAGCGCCUAAAUGACAUUAACGCUGGAAGCUGAGCACUCCUGAGGACACUUACUUCAUCCCGUCUCUCUCUAUGUAUGCAUUACGUUAACACCGGUUUGAGUGUCACCGUGAGAUUCCACGUGCUUAAUUUGAAUUGGGUGAUCAGCUGGGAAUUUGCUGUCUUGUUAAUGGGAGCAGAUUAAUGCAUCACUUCGCCAGCCUGCCUGAAGAGUGUCGAAGCUUUUUUGUUUUACUGAGCAUAUAGAGAUGACAGCUCUGCCAUACGGACAUCACAAUUACAUGGGAAACGUUGGCUUAACACAAGCUUUUUGAUACCUACGUGAGCCAUUCUCACAAUUAUUAUUUUUACUAUACAAGUAUUGACUAAUGUGGCCCAAUAUAUAAUAUCCUAUCACGGUGAAACCAACCAAAAAAAAAAAAUCAGCACCUUACAAGGAAAGAAAAUAGUCUGCAUCCCUCCUCAUGGGGUUGCAGCACAGGAUCGCAGGGAGGGGCUGGUGUGAUGGAAGGGCCAGCACAGCCCUGGUGAACGCAUUCAUGAAGAAGAAUCGGUUGCUGUUGGUGGCCUCAAAAGUCACCUUUGGGCUCAGGUACAAGCCACCCGUGGGCUGGAGAGUUAAGGACUGAAGU